UGGUUAUUUUGUGACGGAUAUGGUUUUAUUUUUAAACCGUGUUAGUCUUUUUGUUGCAUUUUUUUUAACAAUUGACGAAUGCUACUGCUUUUCGUAACAGUCGAGUUUUUAUUGUUAAGUUUGAAGUUCUUGCCUUGUGCAACUAUCUAGAGUCUAGAAUUAUGAAGUUUAUAUUUCGAUGGCAGAGAUCAAUAUAAUUUUAUGGGUUAGUAAAUUUAUUACUACCAAAAUCAAUUCAUCAUACUCAAGUUAUUUACAAAAUUCACUUAUAUGUUGUCUACAUCUUCUGUGCAUUACUGUUCCAGUUGUUUGUCAUGGGUAUUUUAGUAUUUCGCUCUUCAAUUGCAGCCCUUUCAUGUUCUCUGCGGUGACACGUGUUAAGCUUACACUUUCACUUCUAGCUACUUCUUCUCUGUUCAUUUGUCUUCUCCAUGGUGUUACAUGGUAAGGUACCAUCUUCUCUCUGCCCUAUUUUAUUCCAUUUGUUCUGUUUCUCUUUUGUUUCUUCUCCAUUACUUGGUGUAAACAAUUUCUUUUGUUGGUGUUUUUUCGUUUGUUAUCUUUAAUUAAAGCUUCUGAUUUUUGCUUUACUUGGAUCUUGGAAGGCUUUUGCAAGUUUCUGGACAUGUGUCAUGGAGCUUUUUCCUCAUUUGCUCAUGAAUAAAACAUUUUCUUUGGUUAUCUUUUUGGCUAUACAAGAAUGCACUUGAGAAUAACUGAAACUUCUCUUGAAUUGGGAAAAUAUCAGUUGUCACUUCCUUUUAGAGAUUUGAUUGGAUUAAUUUCAGGUUCUUGAUCAAGGGAAGAAGAUUGAACUUUUGUCACAUGAAUCUAACGGUUACGGCUCCAACUCUUUUUAUCUUCGAAAGGUUUUCAUGUCACUCACUUGAGGUUUCAAAUGGCUGGCUGCAAAUGGACAAACAAGGGAUUUGCAUCAACUUUGGAAUGUAUAUUUUUAGUUUUUCAAGCUCCCAAGUUUAUGUAAUUAUAACUAAGGUGAUGGUACGUAGAAUACCGUUUGUAUAUAUGCCUACAAUAUAGAGACUAUCAUGACUUUUUCGGAAGUUGUACAAAACAUUGUUCUCAACUUUGUUUUGAAAGACUUCUUUUCAUCUGUUA